GAUGAACGCUGGCGGCGUGCCUAAUACAUGCAAGUCGAGCGAACAGACGAGGAGCUUGCUCCUCUGACGUUAGCGGCGGACGGGUGAGUAACACGUGGAUAACCUACCUAUAAGACUGGGAUAACUUCGGGAAACCAGAGCUAAUACCGGAUAAUAUAUUGAACCGCAUGGUUCAAUAGUGAAAGACGGUUUUGCUGUCACUUAUCGAUGGAUCCGCGCCGCAUUAGCUAGUUGGUAAGGUAACGGCUUACCAAGGCAACGAUGCGUAGCCGACCUGAGAGGGUGAUCGGCCACACUGGAACUGAGACACGGUCCAGACUCCUACGGGAGGCAGCAGUAGGGAAUCUUCCGCAAUGGGCGAAAGCCUGACGGAGCAACGCCGCGUGAGUGAUGAAGGUCUUCGGAUCGUAAAACUCUGUUAUUAGGGAAGAACAAAUGUGUAAGUAACUAUGCACGUCUUGACGGUACCUAAUCAGAAAGCCACGGCUAACUACGUG
rnacentral:rRNA from 1 species